GGAGCGCCACUGCUUUUUAAUUCAGAAGGGAAUUCUGAUGGUGGAAUUUCAGGCGAUGCGACAGACCGCCUUGGGAGAGGAGGAAGUUUGAAGCUAACUGAGCUAAGCAACCUGACCCAGGUCACUCAGCUCGGAAGUGACAGAGCUAGAACUGGACCCUAUGUCUGACUUGAGAGCUUUUGGCUCAUGAUGAGGAGCUUCCAGCAGCUGUGCACGGCAAAUCUGGACUUCGGUGGAAAGCACUGAAGCAGCCUUAGCUUCCCAGUGCCUGGUGCAGAGCUGCUAUUCUAAACUGGCCUUUUCUGGACCUCUGGUUUGCCCGAACCGUGGCUGAGGAUGGCGCCUGCCUGACCCCCUUUUCCUUGUCAGCCAGCUUCCCCCACGCCCACCCGACUCCUGCUUUAGCCUAUGGGGUAUCUUCUUCGAAUUCUCAGAAGGUGCUCUAUUAGUCAGGGUUCUCCAGAGAAACAGACCCAGUAGGAGUUAGAUACAGAUGGUCCCCAGCUUCUGAUGGUUCGACUGAACUAUUUUUUGACCUUGACCUCACGGCGGUGCCAAAGAGAUAUGUAUUCUGUAGAAACCAUACUUCACACUUUGAAUUCUGACUUUUUUCUAGGCCGCCGAUACGAUGUACAUGCUCUGUCAUAGUUCUGGGCGGCAGCAGAAAGCCCCAGCUCACAGUGAGCCGGGCAGCCAAGUGGGGAAACGCUGAUACAUGCAAUCAUUCUGUACCCAGACUGCCAUUGUGUUUGUCACUUUUGGUACAGUAUUCAAUAAA